rnacentral:rRNA from 1 species
UUACUGCUUUAAGGCGGCGGACGGGUGAGUAACACGUGGGUAACCUGCCUGUAAGACUGGGAUAACUCCGGGAAACCGGGGCUAAUACCGGAUGCUUGUUUGAACCGCAUGGUUCAAACAUAAAAGGUGGCUUCGGCUACCACUUACAGAUGGACCCGCGGCGCAUUAGCUAGUUGGUGAGGUAACGGCUCACCAAGGCGACGAUGCGUAGCCGACCUGAGAGGGUGAUCGGCCACACUGGGACUGAGACACGGCCCAGACUCCUACGGGAGGCAGCAGUAGGGAAUCUUCCGCAAUGGACGAAAGUCUGACGGAGCAACGCCGCGUGAGUGAUGAAGGUUUUCGGAUCGUAAAGCUCUGUUGUUAGGGAAGAACAAGUGCCGUUCAAAUAGGGCGGCACCUUGACGGUACCUAACCAGAAAGCCACGGCUAACUACGUGCCAGCAGCCGCGGUAAUACGUAGGUGGCAAGCGUUGUCCGGAAUUAUUGGGCGUAAAGGGCUCGCAGGCGGUUUCUUAAGUCUGAUGUGAAAGCCCCCGGCUCAACCGGGGAGGGUCAUUGGAAACUGGGGAACUUGAGUGCAGAAGAGGAGAGUGGAAUUCCACGUGUAGCGGUGAAAUGCGUAGAGAUGUGGAGGAACACCAGUGGCGAAGGCGACUCUCUGGUCUGUAACUGACGCUGAGGAGCGAAAGCGUGGGGAGCGAACAGGAUUAGAUACCCUGGUAGUCCACGCCGUAAACGAUGAGUGCUAAGUGUUAGGGGGUUUCCGCCCCUUAGUGCUGCAGCUAACGCAUUAAGCACUCCGCCUGGGGAGUACGGUCGCAAGACUGAAACUCAAAGGAAUUGACGGGGGCCCGCACAAGCGGUGGAGCAUGUGGUUUAAUUCGAAGCAACGCGAAGAACCUUACCAGGUCUUGACAUCCUCUGACAAUCCUAGAGAUAGGACGUCCCCUUCGGGGGCAGAGUGACAGGUGGUGCAUGGUUGUCGUCAGCUCGUGUCGUGAGAUGUUGGGUUAAGUCCCGCAACGAGCGCAACCCUUGAUCUUAGUUGCCAGCAUUCAGUUGGGCACUCUAAGGUGACUGCCGGUGACAAACCGGAGGAAGGUGGGGAUGACGUCAAAUCAUCAUGCCCCUUAUGACCUGGGCUACACACGUGCUACAAUGGGCAGAACAAAGGGCAGCGAAACCGCGAGGUUAAGCCAAUCCCACAAAUCUGUUCUCAAGUGUCGGAUCGCAGUCUGCAACUCGACUGCGUUGAAAGGUCC